CUCCCUAGUCAACCUUGGCUGAUAUUAGAAAACUAAACAGUGUUGGAGCUGGUUAGUAUUUGGAUGGGCAGCCACUAGGAAAUUCCAGGACUGUGAGC
rnacentral:rRNA from 1 species